UCACUGACGGUGAGGAUUCAGAUCACACCACAAGUUUCCAGAGAGUCUUCAGUCCAUCACACAGACAAAUACGCACCCGCUUCAGUGCUGACAAGAGCUCACACGACUCCAGAACCGUAUCCAAGGGUAUGACUAUACUUUUAGCGAAAUAGUAUUUUGCUGUAGUUCAGUAUGUAGUGAGUGAGAUAAAGGUACUCUUCUCUCAAUGGUCACAGCCUCAGUGGAGAGCUUUCCUUUGGACACAUCUCAGUUCAGCCAGUCUGAAAGCCAGCAUUGGGCCAAAUAUCCCCAGCACUGACACUGAGCCAACCAACAAAAGUGCCAGCUACAGAACUGCAAUGGGAAACUUGGGGUAUAUCUUCUUAAACAGCACAAAACUUGCCCCUUCUAUUCCUCCUCAUCCUUCCCAUAAGCCUCUGCUGCAGGUCAACUAUGGCUCCUCCUGUAGUUUACAUGCUGGAUUUAAAGUGCGAGAUCAAGUGUCAGAACCAGUGUCCACUAAGAGGUGCUCUACUCAGUCGGACUCAGCGCUGCUUCCCUGUAAUGUCUUCUUUCAAUGGAUCUCACUGCUGACCAGUGGAAGACGACACCACACCAACAGAUUGAGUUUAGACUGUCAUACAGCUAACAUCCACACAACAGAACAAGGUAUAAUUUAGUAAUGCAAACAUUUUGAAUUUAAGGGAAAAUGUAAUUAAAAACUUUACAACGUUGAUUAUUUACAAUAUAAUUCCAGCAUAACAUAGUAACAUAUACUUAAUGUAUGCAUUACUGUUCAGAAGUUUGGGGGUUGUAAGAUUUUUUUUUUUUUUUAAAGAAUUAUGUUUAUUCAAUAAGGAUGUAAAGAUGAUAAAGAUUUAUAAUGUUACAAAAUAUUUAUAUUUCAAAUAAAUGCUGUUCUUUUGAACUUUCUAUUCAUCAAAAAAAAAAAAUAUUUUCACAAAAACAUGAAGCAGCAGAAAUGUUUUCAACAUGGAUAAUAAUAAAUGUUUAUUGAGCAGCAAAUCAGCAUAUUAAGAUGAUUUCUGAAGGACCAUGUGACACUGAAGAAUGGAGUAAUAAUGCUGAAAAUUCAGCUUUGCAUUACGGCAACAAAUUCCGAUUAAAAAUAUAUAAAAACAGAAAACAUUUAUUUUCAUAAUAUUUCACAGUAAUACUGUAUUUUGAACAGUAGUGUAUUAUAUAUUCACAUAAAGCAUACAUUAAUUUCUGUUGCAUGCUUUUCAGGAGGACUCAAUACAUAAGACAUUGGACAAGGCCUUGCAGGCAGCUUUUCUGAUGAAGCAGACCACAGACAGGAUGAUUUUACACAUCUGUUUAAAAGUGUCUGGGGUUUUGCAUUAUCGUCAAAUAAAAAAAGCUGACCUGAAAGUUUGAAAGUUUGUUUUUUGUAAUAUUUGUAAUAAUGAUCAUUACCAAUAAGAGGCAGAUUAGAGCCUCUUAAUGUAGCCAUUAUGACACAAUACUUAGAAUAAUGUAAGUGUGAUGCAAUUAUAAUGACCAGAUUAGCACAAUACCAGAAUACCUGUCUGUAUAAUGUAUCAUAAAACACCUAAGGAUUUCCUUGCUGGGUUUGACUUUUGUCAUCACAUACCAUCAUGUGUUAAAUUCCAAUACAACUUCCCUCAGCUUCAUAAGACUAUCACUUUUUUCCUCUCACUUGAAGUGGCUUCAUCCACUGUCACAGACAAAACCAACGGUGCUCAAGUUUCUGCCAAUAUCUUGUGCGUGUGUGGUAAGCCUCUGGUCAUUGCUAUUGUUAAUGUAAAGCAGUUUACAUGCUCUUGUUGGAGUAGAAUAAAUAUCUCGCUCAAGGGCCAUUAAAAAGAACACUUCUAAAGAACAGCAUUUAUUUAAAAUACAAAUCUUUUGUAACAUUCUAAAUGUAUUUCCUGUCACUUUUGAUCAAGUUUAUGAAUAUUUGCUUUAUUAAUAACUUAAAAAACACAUACGUAGUACACUUUCUUAGUUCAUAAUGUGAGUUAAUGACAUUGAUACCUUUUAAUUCUGAAAUAUUAUCUCAUGUAAGUUUAUUUUUAAAAUUCAAUAUCUUGUGUAUUUGACAGACAAUAGAACAAACAAUCCUGAACAGCCCAUUAUUUGGCAGAGUGCAUCUUUGUGUCUAUCAUCAAGUGUAUUGUGUACUGGACCUGAUAGGUCCAGUUUUCCUCUGUGACAGAGGGAGGGGGUACACGUGAACGCUCAGGACUCCCAGAACAAUAAAACACCUGUUGGACGGUAAUAGAGAGGAAAAAACAGAACUUAAGUCUCAGCCAUACAUGCAGAAAUACAGAGUCAAAUCAGAAGAAGAAAGUGUGCCCUAAAGGCAGCUGAUCAGCACCAAAUUUGAGGCAUGGAGGUGAAAUAUUUACAUCUUUCUAAUAUCAUCUUUUUGAUUAUUACCAUGCCACAGGUAAGAAUAAAAAUUUGGCUUUCUUUAUGCAUGCAGUAAAUUAAGGUUUGGGUAAACCUAUACUUGCUGGAAAAGAGUUUGAAAAAUGCAUUGGGAUUCAAACAGUAUUGUAAAAACAGAUUAUUUGUAAUGCAUAAAACAAUAGUCCUUUUUAUUAUACUACUGUCAUGUUUGCACUUGUGUAUAUUUUCAUGUCGGAAAUAAGGAAAAAUAGCUCUGGAUCUAAAAUCUGUGCUGACUGAUACUCAAAUAAGCUUCCUUGGCGCUAAUGGCACAUAAUAUACCAUAUGACAGAGUAAUAGCUGGCCGUGAAAUAAGCAGAGAAUGGAUGAUUUCUCACAUUUUAUAUAUUUAAAAAAUAAUUUGUUGCAUUUCUGCUCUUAAUUUACAGAUAUGCAAAGCACAAAAUGGUAGGAGAUCUUUAUUAUUUUUAUAUUUAAUAUUUUGUGUCAUUCCAUGAAAUGGGUACAUUUUGUCUCCCUUGUAAACUGUAAAAGAUUACUUUAACCUGAACCUAAUAAUAUAUGUGUGUGUGCACAUAUACAGGUGUAUCUCAAUAAAUUAGAAUGUUGUGGAAAAGUUCAUUUAUUUCAGUAAUUCAACUCAAAUUGUGAAACUUGUGUAUUAAAUAAAUUCAGUGCACAUAGACUGAAGUAGUUUAAGUCUUUGGUUCUUUUAAUUGUGAUGAUUUUGGCUCACAUUUUACAAAAACCCACCAAUUCACUAUCUCAACAAAUUAGAAUAUGGGGACAUGCCAAUCAGCUAAUCAACUCAAAACACCUGCAA
ensembl:lncRNA